AGUCGAGCGANCAGACGAGGAGCUUGCUCCUCUGACGUUAGCGGCGGACGGGUGAGUAACACGUGGAUAACCUACCUAUAAGACUGGGAUAACUUCGGGAAACCGGAGCUAAUACCGGAUAAUAUAUUGAACCGCAUGGUUCAAUAGUGAAAGACGGUUUUGCUGUCACUUAUAGAUGGAUCCGCGCCGCAUUAGCUAGUUGGUAAGGUAACGGCUUACCAAGGCAACGAUGCGUAGCCGACCUGAGAGGGUGAUCGGCCACACUGGAACUGAGACACGGUCCAGACUCCUACGGGAGGCAGCAGUAGGGAAUCUUCCGCAAUGGGCGAAAGCCUGACGGAGCAACGCCGCGUGAGUGAUGAAGGUCUUCGGAUCGUAAAACUCUGUUAUUAGGGAAGAACAAAUGUGUAAGUAACUAUGCACGUCUUGACGGUACCUAAUCAGAAAGCCACGGCUAACUACGUGCCAGCAGCCGCGGUAAUACGUAGGUGGCAAGCGUUAUCCGGAAUUAUUGGGCGUAAAGCGCGCGUANGCGGUUUUUUAAGUCUGAUGUGAAAGCCCACGGCUCAACCGUGGAGGGUCAUUGGAAACUGGAAAACUUGAGUGCAGAAGAGGAAAGUGGAAUUCCAUGUGUAGCGGUGAAAUGCGCAGAGAUAUGGAGGAACACCAGUGGCGAANNNGACUUUCUGGUCUGUAACUGACGCUGAUGUGCGAAAGCGUGGGGAUCAAACNGGAUUANAUACCCUGGUAGUCCACGCCGUA
rnacentral:rRNA from 1 species